rnacentral:rRNA from 1 species
GAUGAACGCUGGCGGCGUGCCUAACACAUGCAAGUCGAACGAGAGAGGAAGGUGCUUGCACCGACCAAUCGAGUGGCGGACGGGUGAGUAACGCGUGGGUAACCUGCCUCAUACAGGGGGAUAACAACUGGAAACGGUUGAUAAUACCGCAUAAGCGCACAGCAUCGCAUGAUGCAGUGUGAAAAACUCCGGUGGUAUGAGAUGGACCCGCGUCUGAUUAGCCAGUUGGCGGGGUAACGGCCCACCAAAGCGACGAUCAGUAGCCGGCCUGAGAGGGUGAACGGCCACAUUGGGACUGAGACACGGCCCAAACUCC